rnacentral:rRNA from 1 species
AUGUGGGAGAACAAAAAAGAGAAAUGUAUUUAUACGAAUUUUAAAGCAAAAAAUGUAUGGCUAAAUAGAGAGGGCCUGGGUGCAUGUGCUCUAAUAUAUAUUCUCGGCCGGGAGAAGCUCAACGACAGCUUCCUGGCUCUCAAGACCAUCCUUCCUCCCGGCUCCAAGAAAGACAAGACGUCUAUACUGAUCACCGCGAGGGAGUACGUGAACUCCCUCAAGUCCAAGGUCUGCGACCUCGAGGAGAAGAACAAGGCGCUCCAGGCGCAGCUGGCCGAGUGCGCCCGCGGCGCCGGGGUCGCAGAAGACGACCCCGAGAAGGUCGAAAUCCAAAUAACCAGAGAGGCGGCGGAUCGGGAAGAUGGGACGACUACGAGUGAGGUUUGCACCGUGAAGAUAGCGGCGAGGCCGGCGCAUGGCAACACGAUGGACGUGGUGCUCAGGACACUGCAGUGCCUCAAUGAUCAGAUGGGGGAAGACGACGUCAGCCUGGUGGCAAUGAGCACCAACGACGGCGACGGCCUCACCGGAGCAUUCCUGGCGAUGCAGCUCAAAUCAGCGUCCGGCGCCAAGUGGGAGGAGGAGGUGGUCAGGGAAGCCGUGGGGAAGGCCGUCGCGGCCCGCACGGGCGCCGACCGCCGUGGCGACGCCGCCGGCCGGUCUGGGCACGCUGAAUGA